UUCAUUAAAAUUAAAUUCGUAUUCAACCAGGAAAGAAAGAAGACGCAAAAACAGAGAAGCAAUCAUCUGUUCUUUGAGGUGCCAUUUUUAUUCUUCGAAGAAUCCCGAUGCACCUUAUAAUUCAUCGGUAAGAGCUCAUCUAUUUAUCAAUAUUUUCUUUUAAAUUUUCCUGCAAAGUCUUCGUUGUCAUGAAUAGAAACCCUAUACAUCCUUUCUACAAUAGUUCUUUAUUCACUCUAUCUAUGAUAUAUGAGAAUUUGGGUUAUUAGCCAUGAGGCAGUUCAAUGGUAGUCGCAGAAUUCGUGGAUUCAUCAGCGAAUUAUGUACCCUGGUCAUAGUUUUCUUGUUUUACAACCGGGGAGAUAUUACGAGGAACCCAGUGCUUAGGCAAUCAAACCUAAUUUCGGGCAGCGGGUUUUGUGGUGGGUCAAAUCAUAGGUCAGUAAUUCACCAUCAUCUACAUCCACUAGUACAACCACUACCCAAUUCAUAAUAAGCCGAAUUUUCGCUUACCUGUGCAGCCCAAAAAGACUCAUGGCUAGAGGCGGAGAAUAGAUCUAUAUGACCUAGAACUAUCAUCGAGGCUAGAGAGUAGCAAAGAAUGAUGAUGAUUCAGAUCUAUGACUAGCGCUAGAGAGAGGCGAAGAAGAGAUGGCCAAGAUCUACAAAUGAUUUUGGGUUUAUGGAUAGUUUUGUUUUUGAAAAUUUAAUGUAUAUAGAUGAUUUUGUUUGGUGAUAUUUUAUUUGGGGAGAAGAUGAUGAACAAUGGGUUGUGAUUUAUUUUGAUAUUAUCUUUAAUUUAUUAUAUUAUUGAAUAGAAAUUAUUGGAAUGUUUGGGUCGGG
rnacentral:lncRNA from 1 species